rnacentral:sRNA from 1 species
AGAAUGCUGCAGGCGUUCCUCCAGUCAGCUAAUAGAUUUCCCCAGCUCCUCUGUGCCAGUGAGUCCAUUACAGAAGAAACCCUGAAAAGGGCAAAGGAGAUUGGGUUCUCAGAUAAGCAGAUUUCAAAAUGCCUUGGGCUCACUGAGGCCCAGACAAGGGAGCUGAGGUUAAAGAAAAAUAUCCACCCUUGGGUUAAACAGAUUGAUACACUGGCUGCAGAAUACCCAUCAGUAACAAACUAUCUCUAUGUUACCUACAAUGGUCAGGAGCAUGAUGUCAAUUUUGAUGACCAUGGAAUGAUGGUGCUAGGCUGUGGUCCAUAUCACAUUGGCAGCAGUGUAGAAUUUGAUUGGUGUGCUGUCUCUAGUAUCCGCACACUGCGUCAACUUGGCAAGAAGACGGUGGUGGUGAAUUGCAAUCCUGAGACUGUGAGCACAGACUUUGAUGAGUGUGACAAACUGUACUUUGAAGAGUUGUCCUUGGAGAGAAUCCUAGACAUCUACCAUCAGGAGGCAUGUGGUGGCUGCAUCAUAUCAGUUGGAGGCCAGAUUCCAAACAACCUGGCAGUUCCUCUAUACAAGAAU